UACAGAGGUCUCAAGCGUUUGUUCGGAUUCAUUGGGCGUAAAGGGUGCGUAGGUGGCGCUGUAAGUCAGGUGUGAAAUUUCGGAGCUUAACUCCGAAACUGCAUUUGAUACUGCGGUGCUUGAGGACUGGAGAGGAGACUGGAAUUUACGGUGUAGCAGUGAAAUGCGUAGAGAUCGUAAGGAAGACCAGUGGCGAAGGCGGGUCUCUGGACAGUUCCUGACACUGAGGCACGAAGGCCAGGGGAGCAAACGGG
rnacentral:rRNA from 1 species